rnacentral:lncRNA from 1 species
UUUUAGGGGGAUUAAAGCUGCUUUUACAUGAUCGUAAUACUUGUAAGAUUCUCUUCAGUGUAUUAAGAGCUACAGAAGUAAUUAAGAAGAGAAGAAAUGUACUGCCACAUUUCUGAAAUGCGUCUUUCAUACCAAGGGAGAAUGCAAUAGAGCACAAGCAUAUUCUAUGUAAAUAUUUUAACAUCUAUACCGAUUUGAAAGAAAGGAGGGUGGAAAAAAGAGAAAACAUAAUGAGAAUAUCAAUAAGGUGCUAUAUCACACAGAUUCAUCCCACUAAACGCUUGUGGAGAUGCCUUCUACAUUAGGCCAUAUCAGACGCUACGCCUAGCAAGCUGGUAGCAACUUAGCGUUGAGAGACCAGUGCCAGCAUCUGAGUGCUAUGCAAGUAAGCUCCCGCUGGUCUUUUCCUUUCCUUUUAAAAUAUAUUUCAUUUAGGGCUUCUAAAUCUCCCUUAAAGAUCUAUUUUUAAUUAUAGGGAAGGGAUUCAGAAAUGUAUAUUAAAAUGUAUAUUAAUUUUACAAACCCAUCAAGCAAGGCAGGUCAGAAGCUCAAA